rnacentral:rRNA from 1 species
CCUACGGGGGACAGCAGUGAGGAAUAUUGGUCAAUGGACGAGAGUCUGAACCAGCCAAGUAGCGUGAAGGAUGACUGCCCUAUGGGUUGUAAACUUCUUUUAUAUGGGAAUAAAAUGUUCCACGUGUGGGAUUUUGUAUGUACCAUAUGAAUAAGGAUCGGCUAACUCCGUGCCAGCAGCCGCGGUAAUACGGAGGAUCCGAGCGUUAUCCGGAUUUAUUGGGUUUAAAGGGAGCGUAGGUGGAUUGUUAAGUCAGUUGUGAAAGUUUGCGGCUCAACCGUAAAAUUGCAGUUGAAACUGGCAGUCUUGAGUACAGUAGAGGUGUGCGGAAUUCGUGGUGUAGCGGUGAAAUGCUUAGAUAUCACGAAGAACUCCGAUUGCGAAGGCAGUUCACUGGACUGCAACUGACACUGAGGCUCGAAAGUGUGGGUAUCAAACAGGAUUAGAUACCCGAGUAGUC